CCCAGAAAUCUCCUUGCAGGAUGAGCCUCUCAUUUUCCCGAGGAUUUUUCUGAAGACCCCAGGGAACAGAACUCUGUUGGCUGAAGUCACUUUUCUGUCACAGGAGCCAGAGCUAGGCUGUGCUAUCGAAAACGGGAUUUCAUCCUAAUGAAAUAAAAUAAAACAACGCGGGGAAGGAGAUUUCAAAGUAUCCUCAGCUGGAUCGGGGGUUCGGGAGAAGGAGGGAAAAAAGGGAAAAACGCCAAAUCCAACCGAAGAGCACCCUCUCCUGGACCGGAGAUCCGCAGCGCUCCUCCCGCAAAUCCCAACUCCUGAGUGCUUCCCAUCCCUUCCCACACAAGUACCCAAAAUAUUCCUCCGUUUUCCCUUUUCUCUGUGCUUUCCAGUAAAUCAUGAAGAAUUGCCAUUAGCAGGACAAUUAGCAGUUAGGAAAGGUUCGUUUUCAGCACGGUUGUAUCGUUGCUGGAAGAUCUCUCAGGUGGGUCACUCAGCACAUCGGGGUUAAUCAUUUUCUGUACCCAACAGAUGCUGCAUUUUGACCUAUUUCCAAUAUUAUCACCAAAAAAAAAAUAUUUUUUCCACUAUAGAAAAAUAGCUUGUGGAGAUGUGUUUUAUUGUGCAGUGCUUUAAGAGAAAAUAUCUUUUAUUUAUUUUAUAUUCUUCCCUCUCCAGAAAGAUGCUCUUCUGUUUCUGCCUCUUGACUGAUUAAGUUUGAUGGUGAAGUUUUCAAUGCACAUUUAAAAUCUGCUCUCCGUGAAUACCCUGCCACGUUCCCUGAAAUUCACAGAUGAAUGAAUUUUUACAGCAUUCCUGGAAAGCAAACACAUCUGACCACAGGGAAUAUUAGCCUGAUAAAGAUUUAAUUGUAAAAUGACAAUGAGCAGCAGUUGAAGUUCAGAUAGUAUUUCCCUGGCUGUCAUUUCUGCGUGCAGACAUUAUUCUAAUAGCAAACCCUCUCAUCUUUGUUACCCUUUUCAUGCUCUUUUCAGUGCCUGAAAAAGUCAAGUACCAAUAUCUUGUGGCACGAACACAAAGCAGAAGCCUUUUUUGCAGAAGGAUUUUUUUUUUGUUUUGCAGUAGGUGACACAGAGUUCAUGAAUAGCAGCACUGAGUUGUGAUACCAACCCAAAUAUUAUUAUUAUUAUUGUUAUUAAUACUAAUAUUAUGUUAUUGUUAUUAUUUCACACCAGGACUGACUAAGCUAAAUACCUGCUAGCUAAGGACCAGUAAAUCAGAUUUUUUAGCUGGAAUAUCCCAGGAUGCUCUGUACAACAGCAAAGUUCAAAUGAAUUUCUGAUGAAGAGUUUGUGCAGUCACACUUGUUCUCUGUGCCACAUCAGAGUAAAUUAAAAUCUGCACACAAAGAAAAUGUCUCCUAUACUUUUUUCAUCAUUCUAACAUUAUCAAUGUCAUCUGAGUAGCAAAAAUAGAGAUUCAACUCCUGCACACCUGGAUAAUCCCACUAAACUCAGAACAGGACUUUCCUUCCCGUAGCUCCAGUGCUGUGGGACGUGGUAUUUAAUAACUGAUGGAUAAUUACGGAGUACAAAAAAAUUCUCUUUUUAUCUACAAACAGCUCAUUCAGCUGAGGAAAUCCUGUCAGGUAGAAGCUGGAGAGGGCUGGUCUCACAGGCAGGAAAUGAAAAGUCCUCCUGUCCCUGGCCAGUGAAACACCCGCUGCCUCUGACCCCAAAAGGUGUUUCUGUGCCUGUGUCUAAUCCCAAAAAUGUUCUCCUGUGCCUGACCCCAAAAGGUGUUUCUGUGCCUGUCUCUGACCCCAAAAAGGCGUUCUGUGCCUAUGUCUGACCCCAAAAAGGUUUUCUGUGUCUCUGACCCCAAAAAGGUGUUUCUGUGCCUCAUUGACAGGCUCAGCUUGCCCUGGAGUGCUGCAGCCUUCUGGAAGCACAGACCUUGUGAAGGAGGGCAAGAUUUGUAGAGCAAAACUGAAGGCAGAAGAUUAUUUUUUGUAAGCUUGGGAGUGCAUGGAUUAAUAAAUCCUGGUUGUCCCAGCUCUUAGGAAUUGCAUUCUGUCUAAAUUUCAGUUUGGUUUUCUCCUUUCCCCCCCAGAAGAGCUGAACCUGGGAACAGCAUCACUCAAAGGCUCGUUAGUUUGAUCAAGUGGCAAAAGUGACUCCAGCUCCCGUGGGUACUCCCAGCUCCGAAACAUUUACACACCCCAAGGGAAUUCUGAAAAACACCACCAAGCCUUUAGGUACUGAAUCACAGGCAGCUAUUUUGAAUCUUUAAUUUUUUUUUCUAUAUUCUUUUCUAUGAGGAUGUCAGAACUAAAAUAUGGAAUAUGAUUUUCCCACUUGGUUCCUAUUACUUGUAAAGCAUUGAAAAGCUUCCAGAAUAAAAUUACCUCUAUGCCCUGCCAGGGAGCAGGCAGAGCUGCACCGAGUAUCAAGGGAGUCCCUCUGCUGGUGUUGCUUUCCAUUUUUAACCCAAAUAUAAUCAUAAAAAUGACUAAAUGUGAGACUGGAGCUGUACAGCCUUAGAUUCAGCAUUUAUUUGUUAUCAUGUUCAUCCCAGCGGAGUUUUACUGUGCUUUUAUAUUUAUACAAAAAGUGCUGAAAUAUAUUCCAUAAAUUAAGGAGUUCAUUUUCAGGUGUGACAUAUUCAUCAUCACCAUCAUCAUCAUCACCAUGAUGGGAGCUUGUUUUCAAACUUUGUUCAUAUGAGAGCAGCCAAUUUGCAUUUAGG